rnacentral:rRNA from 1 species
CGGACGGGUGAGUAACGCUGGGUAACCUGCCUUGUACAGGGGGAUAACAGUUGGAAACGGCUGCUAAUACCGCGUAAGCGCACGGCAUCGCAUGAUGCAGUGUGAAAAACUCCGGUGGUAUAAGAUGGACCCGCGUUGGAUUAGCUAUUGGUGAGGUAACGGCCCACCAAGGCGACGAUCCAUAGCCGACCUGAGAGGGUGACCGGCCACAUUGGGACUGAGACACGGCCCAA